rnacentral:rRNA from 2 species
GGCGUUAAGUUGCAGGGUAUAGACCCGAAACCCGGUGAUCUAGCCAUGGGCAGGUUGAAGGUUGGGUAACACUAACUGGAGGACCGAACCGACUAAUGUUGAAAAAUUAGCGGAUGACCUGUGGCUGGGGGUGAAAGGCCAAUCAAACCGGGAGAUAGCUGGUUCUCCCCGAAAGCUAUUUAGGUAGCGCCUCGUGAAUUCAUCUCCGGGGGUAGAGCACUGUUUCGGCUAGGGGGCCAUCCCGGCUUACCAACCCGAUGCAAACUGCGAAUACCGGAGAAUGUUAUCACGGGAGACACACGGCGGGUGCUAACGUCCGUCGUGAAGAGGGAAACAACCCAGACCGCCAGCUAAGGUCCCAAAGUCAUGGUUAAGUGGGAAACGAUGUGGGAAGGCCCAGACAGCCAGGAUGUUGGCUUAGAAGCAGCCAUCAUUUAAAGAAAGCGUAAUAGCUCACUGGUCGAGUCGGCCUGCGCGGAAGAUGUAACGGGGCUAAACCAUGCACCGAAGCUGCGGCAGCGAACGUAUCACUUAAAGCGAUUCAGCGGGUUACGAUUGACGGAGCGAAGCGACGUCAAAGCGUAUACAAAGUCGAGUCGGUUUAAGGAUACGUUCGUUGGGUAGGGGAGCGUUCUGUAAGCCUGUGAAGGUGUGUCGUGAGGCAUGCUGGAGGUAUCAGAAGUGCGAAUGCUGACAUAAGUAACGAUAAAGCGGGUGAAAAGCCCGCUCGCCGGAAGACCAAGGGUUCCUGUCCAACGUUAAUCGGGGCAGGGUGAGUCGACCCCUAAGGCGAGGCCGAAAGGCGUAGUCGAUGGGAAACGGGUUAAUAUUCCCGUACUUGGUGUUACUGCGAAGGGGGGACGGAGAAGGCUAUGUUGGCCGGGCGACGGUUGUCCCGGUUUAAGCGUGUAGGUGUGUGUUCCAGGUAAAUCCGGUU